rnacentral:miRNA from 1 species
UGCCACACUGAUCCAGGUGGCAGAAGAGAGUGAGCACUGUAUUGGGCAGAGUCCCUCCUGGCAAGGGUGAAGAACAACAAGGAAUGCUUUUCUAGCCUAGAGCCAGCUGCACCUGCUAUAUUUGGGGUCAGCCUCCUCCAGGCAAUGCCUCU